AAGGAAGAUAAUGACGGUACUUGAGGAGGAAGCCCCGGCUAACUACGUGCCAGCAGCCGCGGUAAUACGGAGGGGGCUAGCGUUAUCCGGAUUUACUGGGCGUAAAGGGUGCGUAGGCGGUCUUUCAAGUCAGGAGUGAAAGGCUACGGCUCAACCGUAGUAAGCUCUUGAAACUGGGAGACUUGAGUGCAGGAGAGGAGAGUGGAAUUCCUAGUGUAGCGGUGAAAUGCGUAGAUAUUAGGAGGAACACCAGUUGCGAAGGCGGCUCUCUGGACUGUAACUGA
rnacentral:rRNA from 1 species